rnacentral:lncRNA from 1 species
GAAAAUGUGGAAAAUUUGAGGCCACAAAUCACUGACCACGUGGUGCAUAAGGAAUGGAGGAGUGUCGGAUUUAAAAAAGAAAGAAAUAAAAAAUUUGUGAUAUUUUCCUCUCAAUGUCAGUAUCUCUCUUUCAAGAUUACAGUUUGUUUCUUUCUAUAUACUACACUUUUCACUCUUUCUCAUCUUCUUCCUAUCCACAUCAAAACACACACUCACAUCAUCUUCUCCACUCUCUUUUUCUCUCAUCUCUACAAAACAUAAACUUCAA